AGCAUAUAAGUAAGCGGAGGAAAAGGAACUAAACAGGAUUCCCUUAGUAAUGGCGAACGAACAGGGAUCAGCUUGGGUUGGAAACCGGGGCUUCUGCCUUGGAUUGUGGCCUUUAGACAUACUACCAACGGCGGCGCGAGCGUAAGCCUCUUGGAACAGAGCGUCUACGUGGGUGAGAAUCCUGUGUUUCGCUUGAUGCCCGCCGUGCACGGUACUUGCUCUCAGAGUCACGCUCCUCGGAAUUGGAGCGUAAAUUGGGUGGUAAAUUUCAUCUAAAGCUAAAUACAGGCUCGAGACCGAUAGCAAACAAGUACCAUGAGGGAAAGAUGAAAAGGACUUUGAAAAGAGAGUUAAAAGUGCUUGAAAUCGCUGAACUGGAAGCGAAUGGAACUAGUGCUCUGGUUGAGAUUGCUGUAAAUGGCUGCGACAUCUGGGCUCUGGAACGCAAGUCCUUUGUCUGGCUUGAAGUAGUCGCUUGCAAUGUGUCUCAGCUUGAACAUCAACUUCUAUGCAUACGUGAGGAUGGCCUUGGCUCAUGCUGUGUUGCUG
rnacentral:rRNA from 2 species